ACGCUGACAGCGAUCUUUGGUCAUGGUCAGACAAAUCAAGCCACGGCCAUGGGUCGCCAUAAAGUUGAUCGCUUCCGGUGACACCUUUUCUGCAGCAAUGAUGA
rnacentral:antisense_RNA from 1 species